GAGACAGGAGGGGAGGAGACAGGAGGUGAGCACAGGAGGCUGGAUGGGAGUGGCUGCAAUGGAGAGACCUGACAGGGAACAAGAAGAGCCACUGCUCCUCAGAGACCCAGAGAGAUGUGGUGGCUUGCUUGGGGACACACAGCCCAGGAAGGGGAGGCAGCAUCAGAGGGAUGAGGGCCUGUUUCCUGACUCGAGGCCAGGGAUGAGCGGCUACAACAGGGGGAAAAAGGCAUGGAAAGAGCUUCUUGGUGGUGAGACGGGACCCAGAGGCUCCCUUGCUUGCUUGCCUUCAUUCUGUACUCUACCCACGGGGGCACAGAGCAGGAGCAACUGGCAUAAUGUGUGGGGGUGUGUGCACAUGUGUGUCUGUGUUAAUGGAGGCCAGAGGUUGAAAUCAGACGUUUUCCUCAGCGUCUCGCUGCUUUAUUUUUAAAAAGUGGGCUAGAGAGAUGGCACGGUUGGUUAAGAACACAUGUCCACACAUAGAAGUAAAAUGAGGGCAGGAGAGUUGGCUCAGUGCUCAGAGCACUGUCGCUCUGGCCGAAGAUUGAUUCCCAGCAACCAUGUGGCACUCACAGCCGUUUGUAACUCCAGUUCUAGGGGAUCUGACACUCUCUUCUGACCUCCACAGGCACCGGGCUUCGGUGGCGCACAGACAGACAGACAGACAGGGAAAACACCAUACGCAUUUUAAAAAUGCUACUUUUCUUUUUCUUUUUCUUUUUUUUUUUUUAAGGAAAAGUAAGAUAAAUCUUUGUUUGCUUGUUUAUUGCAUGAGUGUGAAGGUCAGAGGCCAGCUUGUGGGAACCAGUUCUCUCCAUGUGGGUCCCGAGGCUCAGACUCUGGUCAUCGGGGUUGGUGACAAGUGACUUUACCUGCCAAGUCAUCUUGCUGGCUCUUCGCAUUAAAUCUUUUUAAAAAACGGUUUUUAUUUUUAGCUCUGUGUGUAGGGGCUAUGUGCACAUAGAUGAAGAUGUCAAAGGAAGCCAGAAGAGUGUGUUAGACCCCCUGGAACUCGAGUUACAGCUAGCAACGAGGCACCCAGUGUGGGUUCUGGGAGCCAAACUCGGGCCUUCUACCAGAGCAGUAUAUAUUCUUAACCCUGAGCCGUCUCUCCAGCCCGUCUUCACAUAUUUUGAGCCAAGGUCUCUCACUGAAUCUGGAGCCCACUAAUUGGCUGACCACAGGGCUCCUCCUGUCUCUGUGUCCCCACUCUGGAUAACAGGCACUUGGUUAUUCCUAACUCGGAUGCUUGCUUGCACAGCAAGCACUUAGGUGACUGAAGCAUCCCCCCUCAGCCAGAAUCUACCAUUUCUGAUGCUGUCUGUGCUGUUGGGGUGGGCUGUGUGUCUCCCCCUUACCCAGCCUCCCACCCGUGGAGUCAUUAGCACUAAUGAUAGGAUUGGGGGCUGUGUUAUCACACACUCAGCCCUGCUGGGGCUCAGGGCCCAGGAGGUGGGAAGGGGCUGGCAGGUAGCCCAGGGAGGGAGCUGAGGUGGGAAGGGGGGGGCAGAGGAGGCAGGGCGGGAAGGAAGAAGGAAGGCCUUGGGGUCUGUUCAAGAGAAGCUUCUCAGCCCUCAGAACAAAACCUACCCCUGUGUCCCUUGUAGUGGCCACUGGGCACACAGUAAAGCAUGCUCAAUGAGGAAAGGGACCUCAUGCAGACUGGGAAAUCAGGAGGCAGAGAGGCGACUAAUGCCUAGGAACCAAGGCCCGUAUGCUUAGUCCUGUAUAUCACUGUCACUUUAGGUCUCCUUCCACUUCUGUCCCCAAGGCUCAUGUUUCUGCCAGUUGAGGUUAGAUAUCCCUUCAUUGUCAAGGGUACCCUUAGGUGCUUCAUCUGUCCCAAGAGCAGCCCUCUCAGUCCAUAGCCCAAGCCCCGCUGGCCUUCACACUUGUCCCUCGGACCCACCAGAUGCUGUGGUGGACUCUGUCUUUGAGCUCAAGGACUCUUGGUGUCUCCCAGGGUCCCAGAGAUGCAACCAGAAAACUGCCUGUUUUCAGGGGACAAACACCUCUGUGGCAGCCUCUGUUCUUUAAGUAUCAAGACCUAAGGGUCUCACUGUGUAGCUCAGGUUGGCUACGUAGCCACUGAGCUCCUCCUGACUCAGCCUCCUGAGCACUGAGAUUAAAGGCGUGUACCACCCUAGGAGUUGCGCAAUCUUUGAAUGAGUGCUGUGUGAUACUUCAUUUGUGUAAUUCUAGCCCUCUAGAGGUUGUGGCAGGAGGAUUGUUGUGAGUUCAAGGCCAGCCUAAGAUCCUAAGAUACAGUGUGUAUCCCUGUUCUUGACCUCCUCCAUCCUCUACUUAAAGGCGGGGGUGGGGAGGAGGUGGUGGUGGCAGGGGGAGACAAGAAUGUCAAGAUCUAGACUGGGAUUGGGACUGUGGCUCAGAGGCAGAGUGCUCACGGAGUCUGCACAUGGCCUAGGGCUCCUUCCCCAGCACUGAGACAAACACACAGAAAUCUCAAGAGCCAUGUUCAUACCUGUAAAUCCAGCCCUUAGAGAAGGAGGCAAGAGGACUGUGGGAAGUAAGUUCAAAGCCAGCCUGGCCUAUCUUGGGAUACUGUUUGAAAGCAGACAGGCAACUCAGCAGUGGAUCUGAAGGCAAUGAAUUGGAAUGUUCUGGACUGGGGGUGGGGGGAGCACCAGGUUGGUGGUGGGAGUGGAGUCUGAAGAACAGAAUGGUUGACUCCUGUGCCCUUGGAGGUAUCCCAUACCAGCUAUCUAAAGGGGCAGGGUCUCUGCUGAACUCAUCCUGUAAUAAGCAGAUGGCCCCUUGUGUGAGUUCAGCAUGGAGAGGAGACUGGAUGUGGGAGUGGGCAGGGCCCAGGCACCUCCCAGGAAUCUCUAGGCCUUCUGGAGAAAUAGGCCAGAUUUGGCCCGGCCAAUGCAGUGUCCCCAAACUGGGGCAGGAUCAAGGAAUCUGGGCCGAGGACCUGGUUGGUCCCUGGGGGUAACACCACGUGUUCUGGCAUCUUCCCUCCAACUGUCCCUGGGGGAAGAGUUGGGCAGGCCAGAGGUCCACCACUGCCAGUCUGCCCUGAGCCUCACAGGAGUCUGGGUAAAGAGGGACGAGCAGAGCUGGGGUGAGUACCCUGCCUCCUCAGUCCUAGGGUUCAGCUGCUUCCUUGUGUCUUAGAGCACACACCACACGCUCAGAAGAGGUAGCUGAGAGGGAGCCACGUCUCUAGGAGCUUUAUCUUACCUGGUUGGCCUCCCCAGUCCUCAGCUUCCAUUCACAGCUACUCUACCUCGUCCAGGAAGCCUCCUGAUACCACGUCAGCAAGAAAAUGUGGUCCUAACUCAUGCUAGAACAUCCACUGCUGGGCCCUUCUGCUCACAGGUUGCCCUGGAGGCAGGAUUCAGUCAACCUUCAUGGCUUCCUCCUGCUUCUGCCCAACACCUCAGACAGGCCUAGGAGAGAGGCCUAGAGCGUGGUAGCGAUGGCAGAGUCUGUUCUCACUGAACAGAAUGUGGGUUGACCGGCAUGGAGAAACUGAGGAAUGAGCUCCUACAUCUGACGUCCAUGCUAACCAGCUUCCCCUCCCCUCCUGCAGUCUCAGCAAGCCCUGUGUACCACUUCCCUACCUUUGACACAGGGCUCUGCGCUGCCACACCCUCUCCCUAAUUUCCCCUGAGCUCAGAAUUCUUGGUGAGGGCAGUCAUGGAAGGGCAGAUGGUGCUCUUACCUGUCAUCCCCUUCCCUGCAUCCUUCCCUGACUGAGACUGCAUGGUGUCUCGUGCAUGGGUGUCUGUGACUUCUCAAUCACAAUGCUCACUACUCGGUCUGAAGGCCUGGGAUAGGGAGAGUUCCCUGACGGAACUUGAGUCUAAGAGUGGCUGGCAGAGGGGUCCCAGGCCAUGGCACCAGUGCAGAAGCUGAGGCCAGCAUAGCAUUCAGUAUAGAGACGUACUUCAACUUCAUAAGAGAUCAGAUAAAUUGGUGUCAGCACUGGGUGUGUGCGACUGCCGGCUGGUGUGUGAGGUUGCACUGAGUCGGGUUUAGGGCCUCUGUGGCUCCAUGAUCCAGGAACUGUGGGCUCCUGCCUUAGAGGGUCAAAUAUUUUCCUAGGGGAGCCUCUAUCUUCACACAAACACCUGCAAAUCUUCCAGAGGCUAAAGACGAGUCAGUGAUGGGUGGAGGGUAUGCAUGUGUGUGUGUGUGUGUGUACAUGUGUGUACAUGUGUGUACAUGUCUGUAUAUGUGUAAACGUGUGUGCAUGUCUGCAUGUAUACAUGUCUGUAUGUGUGAACGUGUGUGCAUGUGUGUGCAUGUGUGUGUACAUGUCUGCAUGUGUGAACGUGUGUGCAUGUGUGUGCAUGUGUGUGUACAUGUCUGCAUGUGUGAACAUGUGUGCAUGUGUGCAUGUGUGCAUGUGCGGGUGUGAACCAGUUCUACAGUUUUGAGAAAUACCUUCCCAGAUUCCUGAGUGCAUAAUCAUGGAAGCUCAUGGUGCCAGACUUGGGCUAGGCUCAGCAGUUGCUCAUUCUGUCAGGGCAGCCAGGGCAGUGAUGUUUAAUGCACAUGUGCUUUUGCUGCAAAAAGUGCAGGUUACUGUAGCCAUGGUUUGCAUGUGAUUGUCAACCAGUCAGCCAUAGGUAGCCUAUGAAUGUUCCUAAGAGGGUAACAAUACUGGAUCUUGAAUCCUUGCUGUGUCGAACCUAGGAAGGACCUUUGGAAUGAUGGGCCUAGAGACAAUGAGGAUUGGCCUGGGAGCAAGACUGAGUGGAGACCAGAGGCAGAGUCAGCUAGUGGGUGAAGAUAGCUUUUCUAUAGCCCUUUGUCGGGACUGUUGGGGGGAGGCUCUGGCACAGGGUGUUGUGCUGAGAAAGAGCUAUGUGUAAGCACAUGUGUGUGCAUACCUGUGUUUACAUAUGUAUGUGCAUGUAUGUGGUUGUGUAUGGUAUAUGGUAUAGAUAUACACGUGUGUGUGCACAUGUAUGUGUAUAGGUGUAUGUUGUGGUUGUGCAUGGGUGUACAUGGAUGUGUGCAUGUACAUAUGUGUGAGCAUGUAUGCCACAUGUGUGCCAUUGUGUGAAUAAACAGGUAUACAUGUGAGUGUGCCUAUCGUGUGCAUGUGUGGUUGAGUGCAUGAGUGUACGUACACGUAUGUAAAUACGUAUAGUCCUAUGUGGUUGUGCGAGAACAUUGUAUACAUGCAUAUGGGUGUGUGGUGUGUACAUUUGUAGCUGCGUGAGUGUACAGUGUGCUUGGGUGCAUCACACAGCUGCCAUUGUCUUACCUACCUGUUUUGCUGUCAUAGCAAGAGCUGCCUGUUGCCCAUCACCAGGGCUGGGGGCAGAGGAUCCUUUAUUCCCCAAACCUUCCAUGGUGAUUAAGUCUCCAAACUUUUCCUUAACCAUCGUAUCUUCAAAAUGAAAAACCAAAUUGCAUCUCCGAGAGCUUGGAAAUCGAUUUCUUUCAAAAUGAACUUUGGGUGAAGCGAUUCCAAAGAGAAAUGAGAGGAGGAAGGUAGGAGGGGGAUGGGGAAGGGACAGAGGGCCUGGUUGGGGGCCAGCAGGGCAGGGCAGGUACUGGUCUUUCCUGGGAGGUGGGGGAGGCAUCAGGAGUUCUCUGGAAGAGGCACAGUAACUGUGUAACCACAGUGGGGGCAGAGAUGGAGGAUGCUGGGAGACAAGGGCUAUUAGAAGUGGGCUCUCAGGAGGACUUCCCAGCAUCCUGAGUGUCUUUCUCUCCUUCCCGUGUGCUUUGAACAUCUCCACGGUCCUGAAUAGUGCUUGUAUCUGAGGGGUAGGGGGAACAUGGGGCCUGUGCAGGGGCUUGGCUUGAUAACUGCUGUACUGAUGUAGGAGUUGAAUACUCUCAGUCCAGUCAGGUGGGAGGUCCAUGCUGCUGGCCCCUCCCUCACUGCUCAACUGGGCUGCUGCUGCUACUGCCUCUGCCAAUGGCCAAUGCCGGACAGCCCUAGAAAUAGGUCGGAGAGGAAAAGGCUAGGGCAGGUUGGAGAGGACUUGGAGGCUAGGUCAGCUGGGAGGGGAGGAAGAGAAGGGACCUGCUGCUGGAGAGGGUGACCCUAGGAGACUGUGGCUGGCAGCUUUUGAGCCAGGGGAGCAAUUGUGGAGGCCUCUCCUCUCCUGCUCCCUGUCUGGCUCAGCUCUGGCUGGCAGCCGUGGGUGUUGAAUAUUGCUCAGCUGAGCGUCGAGCACUUGGGAGGGAGCAAGACAGCUAGAUGGGUGCGCAGUGCAGUGGCGGUGGCAGGGGUGGCAGCAGGAGGUGGCAGGGGAAGUUGGCCAAGGUGGGGGCGGAUGAGGAGGCUUCGGAAAUAGGGCCUUAGGGCCCAGCUGAAAGAUGCAAAACAGUGGUUGGAGGUGGCCUGGGGUAGGGAUGGGAGCCUGCCUUUUCUCUCACAGAACACCAGGAAAUGAGGAAGCAGACUGCUCAUCCAUUGGGGGAAACUGAGGCUCAGGAGAGCAGGCUGUCCAGUAGCUAGCAAGUCAGAGAUGGGAUUCUGGAGCCCAGUAUUGGGAGAGGGCAGUAGAAGGUGUGACAGACCCUUAGGGCUGGGGACUCUCCCAUCCUCUCCACCCCCAGAGAAUCCUUGGACAGGAAGGGAGGACACCUGAGGGACAGGGGAGCAAGCUUAGUCUCUACUGCUCAGUGGCCUCAAGUCCCUGCUCUCAGUGGCCCCAAUCACUUCUCUGUGAAAUGGGAAUCAUCUUGGGCUCUUUGUCAAUGCUUUAAGCUUUUGUGAUGAACCCUGAGAUUCCAGCAUUCAUAGGAAAUGGAACCUAUUACCCCUAGAAACUGCCUCUUCACUGUUUCAGUCUCCACCCUGCAUGAGAACCCCAAGUCUUUCUGGAAUGUGCUGGCACAGGGUAGCUGAGUACUGUGCCUCCCUCCUUCCUUCCCACCUCCCUGUCUUUGUCUGCCCCCGACUGCCUCCCCCCCAACCUCCCGCCAUCUCCACACUUCCCCCUCCCCCACCCCUGGCUCCCAGAUCCCUGGAGGGCUGCUCUGAUGAGAGGUUCACUUUCCUUUCCUCAUGCGGGUGACAGACCCUGCUGCCAAUAAUCUCCUGUGACAAAUCAACACUGAAGUCCAGUGGCUCCCUGGCCCUGGAGGAAUCCAAGUAGAUCAAAGUGGAAAAAAACCCAGGGGCUCUGGGACUGGGGCCUGGAGGGACUGCUAUAGUCAGCAGACACAUCAGGGGCUCACCCUCCUUAUCACCCUCUCUCUACCUGGAAAGCACCUCCUUCCUCAUCCUCCAGGUGCUUUGAGGGUAUAGGAUGACAGGCCUGGCUGCAGUGCCAGGAAGAGGGGGUCCAUCCUGAAGGGCACCCCAAAAUGCCUGGAGAGAAGGGAUCCUCUGCUGGACCUCAGGGAGCCAUGGGAGGCUUGUGAGCUCAGGAUGGUUGUCUCUGCCUCCUUAGCAUGCAGCUCUCAGGGUGGACCUGGCCAGCCUCUGGGCACUCAAGCCCUCACCCUAUCACGGGUGAGGGGUGUGAAGAGUGCUGGAGGUGAGACCUCUGGAUAGGCUACCUCACAGGUUGAGCCUGGGCCUGGCAUAAGCUGAGGCCAAGGGUUGGGGGUUGGGCAGAUUUUUUCAGAUUUUUGUGCCUCUUCCUUAUUCUGAGGGAGGGGCUCUGUCUGCACGAACACAUUUUUUCAGAUGAGGAAAGCCAGCGUUGAGAGUAGUAGAGUUACUGAAGGCCGUCAAAGAAAUCUUCUCCCCUGCAUCAGCACUCGGCACCAUGAGGAGCUCAGCUCAGCAAAGGGAGAGGAAUGGUUGCUUGAGGUUUUCCUGGUGAAACAGCUCCGAAUCCUUUCCAGAUUGGGUUAUCCUUAGCAAAACUAUCAGAAUUAUCCACGUUGGAGAUACAGAGUGAGACAUUGGCUUGACCAUGGACAGAGCUGGAGUCGGUGGCAAAUCUCUGGGUCCCGUGGUCGCAGGCUAUGAGCAUGGAAGACAUACUCACACUCACUGCGCUGAAGUCUCCCUGGGUCCAUCGUUGCGUGGCACUACCCAGGAUGGGCAGGGAUAGAAGCCCAGUACCAUGACAACCUGUCAUUGUCCUGAAGAGCAGUACAAAUGGACGUCAGUGGGGCAGGAUGGGCCAAAUGUCCUUAGGCUCUUAGGGAUCUCUAAGCUCAAACUGAGCAGAGCGAGCAUCUGUAGAGGACCCAGACCUUCAAGGCCUCAACUUCCAGCCUCUCUCCACAGUCACAUGAUCCCUAGUGCCCUGCUUCCACCAAUGACGCUGCCCUGCAAGGCUGGGGGGUCCUCUCCCUGACAUCCUCUCCUCUCUGGCUCUCUUUGUGUGUCUUUCUCUGUGUUUCUGUCUGUCCCUUUCUCCCUCUCCCGAUGGAUGACAGUUCUAAGUCCCCUCCGUGCCUUUUCAGCCUAGUGACCCUUGCCAUACCUCAGUUAGGUUCACACCUAUGGCUCUGGCCCUCUGGGUCUUGUGUGCUUGUUGAGAGCCAUUUGACCACAUGGUCUCCUUGAGGUCAGCCUCCCAAGGGAGGGAAGGAGCUGUGUUGGUUGACCACAAGAGAGAGGGGGUAAGGGGACGGAGAGAAGGGGCAAGGGCUCCAACACCUCUCUGGAAUCACACUGGGUCCAGGCUUGUACCCAAACAUUAGAAAGGAAGACCAAGGUUGAGAGAUCUUUGUACCCCAGCCAGCCCUCAAGCCUUGCCCAUUCUUCCCUAAUGUGACAAGUGACCAGCUAACCCCAAGCAAUAAAUGGAGUAAAAAAGUGCCUUUUAGACAUGUAAAACGGGCUGAAUUAGGGUCUCCACCACACAAGGCUGUAUAUGACCAGAACUCAGUGACGUCACUCAGGAUAACCAGACACCGUCUUAGAGCCCCAUGACACCCGUUGGACAGUAUUUAGGCAGAGACCAAGAACAAUGCUCUGCUCUGCACAUCGGGAGAGACGACACCUUCCUCGAUCUGCCCUUGGGCCAGAGAGUCUACCCCAGGAUCCUGGCCCUUCAUCAGAGACUUCUGUUAGAGACUGGAGGUGACCUUCGGCUAAGAUAUGUCACAGGAACGUGUGUCUGUCCACUCACAAGCAGAUCCUGCCGUAGGUAGUGACAGCUCUGUAGAUCUGUUCCUUCAGUGGGCACUGACUGAAGACCAAGCCUGGCUGUGCCCAGGAGCAGCACCAGACAGGAAUGCCAAGCCGCAAGGGAGAUCAACUCACCCAGCUGUCCUUUCUGGGAAUCCACACAGCCCAGGGUGCUGAGCGAGUACCAGGAGAUGGAAGCCACUGGAUGAAGCUGUGGGACGUAACAGGACACAGGAUCAGGAGAGUCAGGAGACAGGGGGAGCCUGGCUGAGACCCUGGGAAAGGACUGCCUGUAGUCUAAGACCUUGGGACCUCAUGGAGCAGUUGGUGGGAGCUGCUGUAGACUCAGAGCCUCAUCUGGGGCAAACACAUGAGAGUCCCAGCUUCCUUCAGGAUCCUGGUCCAGGGCCUCCUGCUUGUCCAUCACACUAACCCCACAGGAAACCGUCAACAUGAAGCUGGGAGAAAGUCUCAAGCUGCCAAGGACAGCCCAAGGGCUGUUCUCUGCUGUGUGCUACCCACCGCUCCGAGUAUGGCCUUGCCCCUGGAUGGCCCUUUCAGCCUGAGGUGUGACUGCCUUCUCUCCAGGGCUCUCUCUGGCCUCCAGGUCCCAACUGGGAGCCUAACUGGGGUUGCAGAUUACAUAGUCUCUUCCAAAGGUUUGUCACUUAGCCCCAGCCGGGACAGGAGAGUAGGCAUGGUUGAGGCUGGGCCUUCAGGAGCCAUCUAAGCCCCAGAAGCAGAGAAAGCAGCAGGCUCUAAGAGCUGUUGUGGGUACAGAAUCUUGUAACUGGAAUUGUGCACAGUAUGAGGGUGUGUCCACCAGGGAAGGUGCCAGGCCUGAGAAUCACCCUAAGCCCAUGACUUGAAAUUUUAGGCUUUGAGGGAUUUUUAUGUGCGUGUAUAUGUGAGUGAGGCCAUCUGUGGAGGUUAGAAAUGUUUCCUGAAGCUGGAGUUACAGGCAGAUGUGAGCCUCCUGGCAUGGGUGCCGGGACUUGAACUCAGGUGCCUCUGGAAGAGCAGUAUUUACUCUCUAGCCUCUGAGGGAUGUUUUUUGAGAUUCAGAGGCCAGACCCAUGAGCACUGGAGAAAUUGCAACAGUCCACUCACAAUCUUUAUCAGAGACAGAGACCUGGCUCUCAGGUCCCAGCCAGCCAUGCCUCUUGGGAAGACUUUCUAGGGUCCAUGAUUCACCCCCAUGCUCACCUUGGAAUUUCCCAUUCAGAUCUCUGAGAUGCUUAAGGUCGAGAUUUAUCCGCCCCACCCUGCUCGGUCACCCUCAGGCUGGUGGCAGGCGGACACUGGGUACUGAUGAUAGUUCAGACGAGCAGCAAGGGAGAACAGUGGGGAGAGGCCACUAGGACGAGAGAGGGAGAAACCUACGCCUAUCCAAGGGUCCCUUGAUAUCCUGUGACAUUGGGACUGAUUGUGAGUACACUAGGAGCCUGUUGAAUAAGGGACAGGGUUCUGAGGUCCUCUGAGGACUGUCUCUGCAGAACCCUGAAGCUAGACUGGGAAUCCCCUCCCAAGCCCUGGGGCUGGUGUCCCUGCCCCUGGCUCAAUCCUCCUCUGUUCCCUACCAUGGAUCCUGUUGCCCUCCAAGGAAGCAGCAGAUGCUGCACCCCAGGGUGGGACACGGAGUAGGGUGGGGGAUGUGGUGAGGGGUGGGAGGCAGUGUGGCGAGGGAAGGGGCGUGCGAAUUGUCUCUGUCUCUUCCACAGAAUGCUUCCUUCUCCUCCUGCUACUGGUGUUAUUUUUAAAGUUUCACUUUGUAAA